UGUAGGUAAUAGCCACUUUGGUCUGCCAGUUUUUUGCUACCUAUUUUCUCCCAGCACUUUUGGGCAGCUCACUCCAGGCUGGGAAGUUCUCAUCAGCUGUAAUGAGCUGAAGGUUUCAACUAGUUAGAUUAUUAGCAAGGAACUGGUUCAAAUAUUUACAAACUAUAUAUUGCACAAGUAGGCUUCAAAAUCAGUAUAUGCACAGUGUUGGAGGCUCAGUUCUGUUUCACCGUUGUGUUUAUACAAGCAACACACAGAAGUGCUUGUAUGUAGCUUAAACGUUUGUUUAAUACACUUACAUUGCCUCAGAAUUGAUGGUUGUAGUCUUGUAAUCCAGAGUGCCUGUGGAUAUCUCAGCACUGUAGCAUACUGACAUGCACUGUUUAUUAUUCAGCUACUCAGGCAAUGUCAUAGAAAAUCAUAAUAAAACUAGGAAGACACAUCACAUCUGACCUUUGCUGAAUAAUUUAAUAAAGCUAGCUUGAUAUACAAAUACGAAAGAGCAGUUGCUGAUAAGAACAGAACUAUUGCUUCCUUGCUCAAGAAUUGGAAACAGUUCAGAAGCUUUAUUAACUAUUUGGUGUCUUCAUCUCUGCUGCAGGCUGUUUCUUAGGCCAUAACCAAAGGCUAAGCUGCUUGUUUCUUCCUGCACUUUCUUCUUCUCGGCUCUCAUGCUGGUACCUUGUUCUCAGUUUUUCUUUGGUCUCUAUGCAGUAAUCCAUGUUUUUUGUUGUUUUAUUUUUUUCCCCCAUACGGAUGCCAUUUCAUUUUCACUAAUACUUUCUCCCCACAUAUAUUUAUUUGUUUGUAGUUAUUUCAAGUGGAUAUAUCUAUAAAAAUGCAGCUCUUUAAAGGUGAUUAUUACAUGUACUCUGUUUUGAGAUGGCCAGCUUGGAUAGGGCUUUGGGUAACCUACUCUAUUAGAAGGUGUCCCUGGUUAUGGUAGGGCACUGAUACUAGCUGCUCUUUAAGGUUCCUUUCAACACAAACUGUUCUACAAUUCUAUGGUUCUAUAAUUCUAUGGACAACCUUUCCUUGUGACCCACCUUCAUACAACUGUCUUCACAAUGAAUACUGGAAUAAUUACAAAGUGUAAUUAUAUCUAGAGGCUUCUGAAAUGCUAUUUUGGUCCUCCUGUGUCUUGUGUGAUGAAGAGUCCAUGGGGCAUUCAGAGGUGUUGGGGUGAGCUGAGAUUUCCCAUGUCCUGUGCCCCAUUUCAGGUUUGCUACUGGCAUUUGACUGACCCAGUUCUUCAGGGGAUCACUGUCUCCAACUGGACUCUCCCUACUUCCCUCAGCUCCUUUGUUCCCCCAUGGCUCUGCCCACAGUCUCAUGAGGCAGAGUUACUGGCCGGGGCUAUCCCCUCCUCCACUGCCAUUUCCUCAGCAACCUCCAGCCUUCUGCUCUGCCAGUGUCCACCAAGGGACCAUUUUUUCCAGCUGUGCCAGUCUAAUGAGUCUCUCUCUCACAUGCUCUUUCCAAAAGCUGUGGCUGCCUUGGUGCUUUGGGCCUGCACAUCUGCAGACAGCAGUGCUGCUGUGGUGGCAUUGGGCCAUGGAGCAGAGUAGUGCUGACCAUGAGACAAGCUAUGUGCACCUCAAACAUGUAAUUUUGUGUCCAGGACAAGGAUGGAGACUUGUGGCAUACAGUAGCAUGGCUGCUCCUCACAGAGGCUGCUCCCGGGCCACAUGUGGGGAUGUUGGAAGGCCACAGUGAGCCCCUGGGCUGGGGCAGUGGUGGGAUGGCAGUAGGGAGGGGGCGUCUGCUGUGGAGCUCCUGUCCUGCAGGAACUUAGUUCCUAACAGCUCAGGAGGGAAGCAGCCCUGGCAGUGACACGGUGGCUGCUGGGGUAUGUCAUUUGCUGGGGCUGAGGAAGCUCAGAAGUGGGAGCUGGGAAGGACAGCACUUGGCUGUAGGGGCCAGCUGGAGCUGUGGCAACGAGGGUGAUGGGGCCGCCAUCUUGUCUCAUGCAACAGUCCAGCCUGGCUUGUAGGUGAGCAGGGGAGGAAGUGGAGCCAGACUGGGAAGCCUCUGAGAAACCCAUGGGGCAGUUUCUCCUGAUGGUGAAACUCAGGUACAGCUUCACACAUGGGGUUUGCUGUCUGCUGUGGGGAAGGCACACAGUGCCCCUCAGUACUGCUUAACAUGCCUUUCCUCAAGUGUUUGGUGUCCACAUAAGGUGGCUGAGGGGAAAAACCAUGGCAAAGCAUCAAUCUGCAGGCUGCAUGGCUGCAGGUGGGUUCUGGUUAUUUGUUUAAUAACUUUGGAUCCUAAUUAGACUGCUCCUGUGAGCAUUAGCUUUAGGCUGGCUUUGCUUUCAGGGCAUUUUUCAGGUCAGUUCUUGAUGCAGCCCACAAGUGCCGGUUCUGAGACCUUGGAGGCCUGCACCAGGUGGCCGGGCCCUCCUGGGCGUCACCUCAGGCCAGGCCGCUGUUCCUGGGGCAGGCCGGGCUCACCUUGCUGAAAGCUGAGGCUGGUGGGCCUCAGAAAAAAUAGUUGAUUUAUAAAACUACCCCGUAGAUCUAGGGAAGGCACAUCAAGGCUUUACUCAACAAGCUCGUGGCCAAGAUAUGCGCCUGCUUCCUUUUGACAUAUUUGUCAGCAAAGGGCUACAUUAAUGCCUUAUAUUAAAAGGACCUGAAAGGAGGCUGUUCCUCCACCCUGCCAAAAUGUUAUUCUGCUAUUAUGUCAUAACACUUUACAAGAAAACAAAACUGUGUUAGUAUCAAUAGAAUCACAAGCUCACUUGCCAAAAAGUAUUUCUUUUUUGAUAAUCCCUAAACCUCUUUAAAAAAACUCCUAAAAUGAGUAUGCAUAGUAGAUAAGGAGCUCCAUCUUAUGUCCAUAUGUACUUAGGCAGUUUCAUUUGAUUUCAGUGGAAAUUUUAGGUGCAUGAGACCUGAAGAUAUCAAAUGUGAGUAAGCCAAGCAAGUUUGAUGAAACUACAGUUCUGUUGUCUCUACUCUGAUUCUGCUGAAGUUCAUCAGGAAAGAUUAACUUUGGCAGCUUAUUCAGUGACUAAAUCUUGAUAUUUUUUGUGGCUUAAUUCAUAACAUAACUGUAAGCUAUUGCCCUGUGUUUAUAUUUCCCAUCCAUUUCUCACAUUUCCAAAGCAUACUGAUAUGUGAUCCUGGUAAUUUAGCUACCAUAAUUGGCAUUUUCUAGGGCCAAAAGGAAACAAAUUCCUUAUCCUCCAUACUUCUUUAAUUUCUGAAAAACAACAAGUAACAUGGUUAAUCCUCUUUUUGAUCUUUCCCCCCCCACUUUGAGCUUUUCUUAUGGCCUUUUCCUUUUAAUCUUCUACUUUCUUUUUAAUCUUUACUCAUUGUCCCUCCACAUUUGAAGAAUCUUGUGUACUUACAUCUCUAAAAAGAAUUGGACCACUUUAUGGAAAUAGCUGUUUAGGAUCUUGUUCAAAGCACCAUUAUGUACAUUUAGCUGUUAGGGGGAGGGCGGAAAGAAAGGAGAGAGAAAGCAACUCUAAAGCAGCAUUUGUGUAACCUAACAGAACAUCGAUUUGUUCAACUCAGUGUGGAAAGCCACACAGAACACCCUACGUUGGGAUAAAACUUGAUUAUAGUAGAUGAACAGAAAGCUGAAUGAACACUUCCCUUUAAUUGGGGUGGGACAUAUCAUUGGGCUCUUUAUACAGGUGUGUUUGGGCAAGAGCACUUUAGGAAGGGCAGAGCAGGGCAGAGCAGCACAGCUGACUGCUAUCAGCCUUUUGCAAACUGCUCCCAGCUGCCCACUCCAAUCAAUGCUGCAGUGCAAAAUGCUUCCUAAGGCUGAGGGAAGUGUGAUUGUGGCCGUCUCCAGAAGCAUAGCUGGAGGGAGAAGAGUUUCUCUUCUAUGUUGGGGUAUUUUGAUGGUCAUCGUGUGGAAAAAAGGCGUCAGGUACUUCUGGCCCAGCACACUGACUGUGAUACUGAGAGAAUUCACCUGAGAAGGGCAGCUGAAGAUGCUUCUCUGAAAAUGUGAGUUUUAUUUAUCUCCAUCAAGCCAGAGAGAGUUCCUUCCUCUGGUGUUUUGCUCCCUCCCAGCCCCUUAACAUAUUCAGCAGGUGCUUUUAAGAGCCUUUCACUUACUGAGUGAAGCAGAUCUGCUCCUCAAAUAUAGUGAGGGAGUAGGAAAAUAAUCACACAUUUAAAACUGCCUGGCAGAUGUAUGUUUCGUAUUAUUGUUAUUAUUAAUAGACUUCACUUCAUAGGCAAGGCAGGCUUAUCAGCCAAAUGCCUCAUUAUCAAAUGACUGAGACCCAGUAAGUGCUUUACAGCAUUCCUUACCAAAAGAGGAAAUGAUUGCAGGCCAGAUCCAAAUCCAGUGAAAGCUGGUGGAUAGGUUCCCACUUCAAUGAAGCAUUGCCUGGGGCCCCUACAUGCUCAUUCGCCUCUGUGUUUUCUUGUAUGCUUUUUAAUUCACCAACAUGAACCAAACAGCUCUAGCUUCUCUCAUCUCUCAAUGUGUUCUGCAACUUCUGGAAAGGAACCUGGACAUGAAGAAAAAUGCUACAGAACAGAAAGAACCACAAUACAAACCAUAUGACAAUGCCUAUUUCUUCAUCCUCUUUGUCAUGCUGUUUUACUCUUUCCUGGCAUUAACUGUCUUUUUUGGUUAUGUACGCUCGAAGAAAGCUAUUUCAAAGAAAGAUCCUUACGAGGAGUUCAUCGAGGACAGGAAUCGAAAGAAGUGGAACGUGGCCCGGCCGGUGGUGGUGAAAUUUGACUUUGAAGAAGAAAGUAUUCUUUGAACUUUUUAAAGUGAAUUGCUCUGCAGAAUGCACUGGGCUGUUUCUGCUGCUUAUAUUUCAAGUGAAGGUCUACGUGCUUAUCUUGUUCGUCUGUCCCCUUUUCAAUAAGUCAAAGCAUUGCUUGAAAUUGCUCUGACUUUUGAUGGUUCCUUCCAACUCUAAGGAUUCUAUGAUUCUAUGAAAUAGGUAAUCAAAAAACAAUUUUUUUUUUUUCUUUCACCUUUAUUUGUUGAAAUGCAGCUUUUCUAAAUACUGGAAAAAUUUAAAAAAAAUGGCAGUAAAAAGUAUCCAUUUGUAGCAUUUGCUUUCAGUUUGGUGGAACAAGAAUGGGAAUCCAUCCUACAUCAAGACUUGGUUUACUUAAAAUAGGGAACUAGUCUAUGUACGCAUGGACCUGCACCAGGGGCACGCUGUCACCUCUGUGUUGUUCACACCUGGGAAUUGGUGUGUAGUGUCCCUGGGAAGUGCUGCCUUGAAAUAGACGAAUGCUGUUUACCAUGCCUGGAGCAGCAAAUACUCUUUAACGUGUGAAUAUAUAAAGCUUCCCUCCACUUAGAAAUUAAUUUCACAUGCUGUGGCAAAAGAUUAAAAAACAACAACAACAAAAACCAACAAACCAAAGCACCAAACCCUAGCCCCCAAAAACCUACACAAGAAAAAAAAAAUCACCUGCAAAAUGUCUUUAAAAUGCAUUGAAUGGAGUUCAGUGACUUUGGAGUUACUGCCUUUUCCAUCUCUCAGAUGUAUUUUUCUUCCAGUUUUUCAUAUGAAAUGUAUGAUUCAGUCCUAAUGAACGAUAACUAGAACUGAUCUCAAACCAGACUGAGGAACUGCCUCUCUGUAUCUGCAAUCAGUCGUUAGUUGCUAAAAUAUUGCAUGAGCUUCUUUUGGGGCAGUGCUGAAUACAUGAGACUUUUUUCCAUCUGAUUUUUUUCUGCCUAAUGAAAUAUUAAUUAAUAGAACUAUGGCAUAGAACACGGGGCUGUGCUUAAUAUAAAAGCAUAAUAAAGCAGCAAGCACUGUUGUGUGAUACCACACGGGUUUGUGAUGGCAUAUGUUCUUCUAAGGUUUUCGUUAGUUCUUAGUCUUAUCUAAGGUCUCUUAGUUUGGCCUUUUCUUGUUAUAGGACCUGUUGGGUAUAUUAUGUGUAUCUGCAUUACAGGUGUGUUUGGUGCUUAGAGGGCUAUCUAAUAUUUAAUCAUCUUCAGAUGGUAGGUAGACUCUGAUAUUCCUUAAUGUGCAUUUUAAAAUAAAGCAGAGCAAAUUUUCAUGAAUAUAUUAGCUUUUCUUUUGUUAGUGGAAUUGCAAUGCCAAAAAUUUGGCAUUGUGUUCCUGGCUACUUCUUGAGUAUUCCAAGGAUGUGUAGAGUUUUAAUUCUUUCAGUAUUUAGGACAAGUUCUUGUAUAUGCAUCCAGCUCGGGCUGGGCAAUCAGAUGUUGUUGCUGUUUCCUGAUGGGAUGUGUUAAGUGUCUCUGGUGAGUGUAUGGGAGCCAGGAGGAGGGAGCCUGAUGCUACGCAUAACCCUCUUCACAUCCAAAAGUUGUUUCCCACUUAGCAGCAUGAAUGUUUGCAGAAAUAGCCAUGUUGCCUCAGAAUGUAGGGCUCUGUCUCCGACAGCUGUGCUAAAGGAAGAUAAUAAGAAUAAGGUACUAUUUUUUUCCAGUUGUACUUGCCCAGCCUCCAGGGAUUUGUUGCUCGGGGCCAUCUGAGCCAGAGGCCGCUCCUUUUGUCUAACUGCGAGGGUGGGAUACGUGCUGAAUACUGAUGUGGAAGUGUAUGGACGUAAGCAUUUUAACAGACCAAAACAUGUUCGCAGAUGUAUUUCUGCUGGAUUAAUCCAGUUCUAAUUUAAAUGGUUUUGACUAUAGGAACAAGACUGGAGUUGCAGACGAAACACUGGUUUGCAUAAGAACGAUAUCAUACGUGCUCUGGCUCCUCUGUACAGAAAGCUAGGAGAGGAAAAAAUGAAAGUUCAGGUCAUUGCGUUUGCAUCACGAUUGUCAGUUUAGACUGUAUAAAACAAAUCACUUUCAAUUUGGUGUCUUGUACUGGAUUGGAGUGAGUAGGAAGACUUAUUCUGAACUUCAGAGUUCUGGAUGGCUGUCCUCUGAAUGUGUACAUAAACACUGAUCUGUUCUUCUGGUGGAAAAGCCUAUUUGCAUCUUGUUUGUUCUUUGUUCUUUGCAGUGUAUGCUAUGUCAACUUAAAAAUUAAAGAUCAACUUCUUUGAAAUGUCUCUCAAA